UCAGUAACACGUAGUCAACAUGCCCAGGGGACGUGGAUAACCUCGGGAAACUGAGGAUAAACCGCGAUAGGUCACUACUUCUGGAAUGGGUAAUGACCCAAACCUAUAUGGCCCCUGGAUUGGACUGCGNCCGAUCAGGCUGUUGGUGAGGUAAUGGCCCACCAAACCUGUAACCGGUACGGGCUCUGAGAGGAGGAGCCCGGAGAUGGGCACUGAGACAAGGGCCCAGGCCCUAUGGGGCGCAGCAGGCGCGAAACCUCUGCAAUAGGCGAAAGCUUGACAGGGUUACUCUGAGUGAUUUCCGUUAAGGAGAUCUUUUGGCACCUCUAAAAAUGGUGCAGAAUAAGGGGUGGGCAAGUCUGGUGCCAGC
rnacentral:rRNA from 1 species